UGGAUUUCGGAUGGGUUUGACCGGUCCGCCGUUUCGGUGUGCACUGGUCGUACCUAUCUUGCUGUCGGGGACGCGCUUCUGGCCUUAAUUGGCUGGGACGCGGAGUCGGCGAUGUUACUUUGAAAAAAUUAGAGUGUUCAAAGCAGGCCUAAGCUCUGAAUACAUUAGCAUGGAAUAACGCUAUAGGACUCUGGUCUUAUUGCGUUGGUCUUCGAGACCGGAGUAAUGAUUAAGAGGGACAGUUGGGGGCAUUCGUAUUUCAUUGUCAGAGGUGAAAUUCUUGGAUUUAUGAAAGACGAACUUCUGCGAAAGCAUUUGCCAAGGAUGUUUUCAUUAAUCAAGAACGAAAGUUGGGGGCUCGAAGACGAUCAGAUACCGUCCUAGUCUCAACCAUAAACGAUGCCGACUAGGGAUUGGCGGAUGUUAAUUCGAUGACUUCGCCAGCACCUUAUGAGAAAUCAAAGUUUUUGGGUUCCGGGGGGAGUAUGG
rnacentral:rRNA from 1 species